AUAACAACGGGUAGCUUCACCGCCCCGGGUCCCCCUCUUUCCAGUCUUCCUCCCCAGCUCCUACUCCCCGUCCCCUGAGACCUAAACAGCGGCUUCUUAGCCCUCCCUGUUUUUCCCUCCUGCCCAGGAUUUCAACUCAUCUGCCAGGGGGAUGGCAUCCACACCUACCAGGAAUGGGGAGAAGGGCAGCAGGAUGUCCCAAGCUGGAACCCCCUCGGGUGGAAGUCUGAAGGUUUCAUUAUCCCGAUCUGAGGAAUUCCUGACCCGGAUCAGCACAGAACUCACCAAUGAGGCCUUGUUUAUCGCUGGCUGCCACAUGAACUCUGUGCCCACCAAGGAAAAACAGACCCAAGAUCGAGGGACUCAGAUAUCCAAACACGUGUCCUUCAAGACCCGAGGCACCGAUACCUGGUGAGUGAAGCUUCAAGGGAGAUGCCCUUUGUCCUGGGAGAAGGAUGAGGAGACUGAAGGGGAGAGAGCGAGGGUUUAACAACAUCCUAGCAGGUUCUGACAGAAACCGUACCUGCACCAGGGCCCACCUCCUGCCGUCCCCUCGUGACAAGGGAGCUGGGCUUAGCAGCUUGACAUCUGGAGGAUGACCGCAACCUUCUGCAGUGCUGCUCUUGGCCUCUCACGCUCUCCCCCAUUGUGUCCUCCUAGAACAUGCGUCAGACCUCCUCAUUCACAAGUCACUAACGCUUCGGUUUGCUGGGGACUCCUGGUCAUAAGCAGCAGCACACUUGAAGCCUCCCAGGUGUUCUGGAACCAUCUCACACCUUUCCAGGACUCAGCUGGCAAGGACAUCACCAGAAAUCAAAGGCUUUAAUAAAAAGACCGAGAGAGGUCCUUCCCUCCUCCCAACCCAGGCCUGGCUCUGGAGUGGCUUCUCUGGGGUGGAGA